GUUUUUGUACCUCAAGGGCUCUAAAAUGUGAAACAGGAUGGAGAGUGUUGUGGAACAUGUGUGCCAAAUAUGUGUAUUUACACAGCAAACAACAAAACAUAUCAUCUCCAGGAUGGAGAAGUGCUUGAGGACAAAUGUGAAAACGUUACCUGUCGUAAAGUUGAUGGCUCAUUUGUGACUGAGAAAACCAAACCAGAUUCAUCCUCACCACUUGCCUGUGAAAGUGGGUUUGAAUAUGUGAAACAAGAUGGAGAGUGCUGUGGAUCAUGUAAACAAAGUGUCUGUAUUUAUGAUGCACCAGACAACACCAGCUAUUUACUAAAGG